rnacentral:rRNA from 1 species
UACGAAGGGGGCUAGCGUUGCUCGGAAUUAUUGGGCGUAAAGCGCGUGUAGGCGGCUUUGCAAGUCGGGUGUGAAAGCCCUCAGCUCAACUGAGGAAGUGCGCCCGAAACUGGCGAGCUUGAGUGCGGGAGAGGGAAGCGGAAUUCCUGGUGUAGAGGUGAAAUUCGUAGAUAUCAGGAGGAACACCGGUGGCGAAAGCGGCUUCCUGGCCCGACACUGACGCUCAUGUACGAAAGCGUGGGGAGCAAACAGG